CCACACAUUAAUUUUCCACGUAACGAGGGCCAAACAUGGGCUAAAGCUAGGAUAAAAUACAUAACUAAAAAGUUUUCAAGAUACAAUUUAAAAAAUAAGAAACCAACAUAAAAUUUCAAAAAAUUGUGACCACUGAUAAAAAAAUUUAUGGCUUAAUACUAAUUAUAAUACACAAUUUAUAGUCACAAUCACGCAUUGAUCACAAAUCAGAUAAUAUCACAAUCACAAAAACAUAAAUUAUUAGUCACAAUUUUAAAUUUAAUUGCAAAUCACAUUUUUUUUAGAUCACAUUAUUCAGUGGUUACAAAUUAUCUAUUUAUUGGUCAAAUUACUCAAAUAAUUGUCACAGACUCUUCACCACCACUCCACCAUUGGCACCGCCCGAACACUGUUGCCACUUCACCGCGACUACCAUCACCUAACCGCCAGCACCACCACAACAUCCACCGCACUAGCACCAUGCAAAUCUAUACACCCAACCUACCACCACACAAACAUUAGCGCACCACAUCAUCCACCUCGCCACCAAUAGAGUAGAUCCGACUAGUUUAAAAGAUUUGAAAAUUUCAACUUCAAAUUCUGUUCGAGGUGGAAGAGAUUUUACUGGUGGCAAAGAUUUGGUUCGCCGUCACUUUCUCCGGUGUCACCAUCUGGACCAGAUAUUUUACCUUUCUAGCAAGCAAUAGCAACGUUCCAUCUCAUGGAGCCCUUUCCCAUUCUCCCUCUCCAGCAAGCCAUAGCAAUGUCCCAUCUCUCGAAGCCACCUCCUUCGCCUUCUCCAGCAAGCAAAAAAAAUAGCUGGAGCUCGAGACAGCAUACACGAGCGGUCAGGUUACGAAGAUGUCGAAUUUGGUGGGUGCUGUAGGUAGAUAGAUAGACAGAACAAAGAGGAAGAUCGUAGAGAGAGAGGGUAUGAGAAGAGAAAGCGAUGACAAGUUUUUGGUGAUGGCGGCCGGAGCUGGCCGAUGGCGGUUGGAGUUUGUGGAUCUCGUAGAUAGAGAAAGAACAAAGUGGGAAAUCAGAGAGGGAGAGAGGGGGUCACAAAUCAAUUCUUUUACAGGGACACGAUCAAUGACAGGAUUUUAUAUACGCAUAGAUACAUUUGGCAUUUUUUCAUUGACAACGAAAAAAUUAAAGAAAAUACUGUCAAUUAAAAACAACAUUGUCACACCUACACAAAAAAUUAUACAGAUGUUUAAAACACGCAUAAUAGUGGAGCCCACCUCAUAAAAUAUUCAUAUGGAACCCACUUUCAUGUGACUGCCAUGUAGAACAUCUGUGAAAAAUAUUCACAAGGCAUUUUCCAAUCAAAAACUGCGGUGUGAGGCAUGUGGUCUUGCGUGGAAAAUGCUCUGUUAUUGCCCUGUUUGUUCACAAAUAUUGGUGCGAGGCAUGUGGUGUGGGUGUGGCUUGCGUGAUACGGUGCACCUAUUUUGAAAGAAUGAUUUUUGUACUUGAUUAUUAAAUGAGCGUAAUUUCCUUUAUAAUUAGAUGGUCAUUGCUUGAAAUUUAUGAUGGGUUGUGGGCCUAUGUUACGGACCCAAAGUCUAGCAAGG
rnacentral:lncRNA from 1 species